AGUGAACGCUGGCGGUAGACCUAACACAUGCAAGUCGAACGGCAGCACAGUAAGAGCUUGCUCUUACGGGUGGCGAGUGGCGGACGGGUGAGGAAUACAUCGGAAUCUACUUUUUCGUGGGGGAUAACGUAGGGAAACUUACGCUAAUACCGCAUACGACCUACGGGUGAAAGCAGGGGAUCUUCGGACCUUGCGCGAUUGAAUGAGCCGAUGUCGGAUUAGCUAGUUGGCGGGGUAAAGGCCCACCAAGGCGACGAUCCGUAGCUGGUCUGAGAGGAUGAUCAGCCACACUGGAACUGAGACACGGUCCAGACUCCUACGGGAGGCAGCAGUGGGGAAUAUUGGACAAUGGGCGCAAGCCUGAUCCAGCCAUACCGCGUGGGUGAAGAAGGCCUUCGGGUUGUAAAGCCCUUUUGUUGGGAAAGAAAAGCAGCAGGUUAAUACCCCGCUGUUCUGACGGGACCCAAAGAAUAAGCACCGGCUAACUUCGU
rnacentral:rRNA from 1 species